rnacentral:rRNA from 1 species
AUUGAACGCUGGCGGCAGGCCUAACACAUGCAAGUCGAGCGGAUGAAGGGAGCUUGCUCCUGGAUUCAGCGGCGGACGGGUGAGUAAUGCCUAGGAAUCUGCCUGGUAGUGGGGGAUAACGUCCGGAAACGGGCGCUAAUACCGCAUACGUCCUGAGGGAGAAAGUGGGGGAUCUUCGGACCUCACGCUAUCAGAUGAGCCUAGGUCGGAUUAGCUAGUUGGUGGGGUAAAGGCCUACCAAGGCGACGAUCCGUAACUGGUCUGAGAGGAUGAUCAGUCACACUGGAACUGAGACACGGUCCAGACUCCUACGGGAGGCAGCAGUGGGGAAUAUUGGACAAAGGGCGAAAGCCUGAUCCAGCCAUGCCGCGUGUGUGAAGAAGGUCUUCGGAUUGUAAAGCACUUUAAGUUGGGAGGAAGGGCAGUAAGUUAAUACCUUGCUGUUUUGACGUUACCAACAGAAAAAGCACCGGCUAACUUCGUG